AAGAAAUGGUUCAUAAAGGAGUAAUAAGGAGAAGGAGAUGGUGGGUGAGAUCUCCAGGCCACAUCUCCAUCUAUUACACUGUAAUCUCCAGGAAGACAGACAGAGUAUCCUACUUAAAAUUUGUUGCUCUUAGGGCUUUCAUCAAUGGUCUUCACAGAGCAGAUACUCAAUAAGUAUUUGUUAAAUAGAAUCCUAGAAUAAUAAGAGAACUGGCAUAUACGAUUCACUCUCUGUGGUCUUUGAAAGAUCAUGAAGAAUAGGAAAAGUGCUGUGGAAUUGGAGAAGGGCAAAUAUUUUUUCUACUUCCAAAAAAGGGAAGAGGUUAAAAUCUACAAAUUAUAGAGGGAUAUGGAGUCUUCAUCUAAAGAAACAUUUCCUUGUCAUCUGAGCUGUCCAGACAAAGAAUAUUGUCCCUUGGAAGAAAGUGGAACUCCCGGUAGGAAACUUCCCUCUCGUGAUGCAGAUUGGCAGCUCGUGGAACUUUUAGUCUCAGGGUAUUGAGAGUGAAGUGCUUUGCUCCAUGGCUAGAGCUUGUCCAAGGCUAGGCUUGAACCCAGGCUUUCCUGACUCCAAGGUUGGUCCUCUAGCUACUAUGCCAAGUUGCCUGUGAGAAACAAUAAAGAUACAAAAUAGAACUUA